UACAGAGGGUGCGAGCGUUAAUCGGAAUUACUGGGCGUAAAGCGUGCGUAGACGGUUAUGUAAGUCAGGUGUGAAAGCCCCCGGGCUCAACCUGGGAACUGCAUUUGAGACUGCAUAGCUAGGGUGCGGAAGAGGGAAGCGGAAUUUCCGGUGUAGCGGUGAAAUGCGUAGAUAUCGGAAGGAACACCAGUGGCGAAAGCGGCUUCCUGGUCCAGCACCGACGUUCAGGCACGAAAGCGUGGGGAGCAAACAGG
rnacentral:rRNA from 1 species